rnacentral:rRNA from 1 species
GUAGUAGCAAAUACUCUAGCGAGACCCUGGAGGACUGAUGCGGAGAAGGGUUUCGUGUGAACAGCCGUUGCACACGAGUCAGUCGAUCCUAAGCCCUAGGGGAAACCCGAUGAAUGCGAGCCAGCGGCCCGGGUGGGCGAAAGGGAAUCCGGUCCCUAUUCCGGAACCCGGCCGCGGAACCGUUUCACGUCGUGCCCGGCACCGAAAGGUGACAGCACGUCGGGGUAACCCAACACAACCCGGAGACGCCGUCGGGAGGUCUGGGAAGAGUUUUCUUUUCUGUUUGAGCGUUCGGGUUCCCUGGAAUUGCCUAGCGCAGAGAGAGGGAAUGGAGCGCGUAGAGCACCGCAGUUGCGGCGGUGUCCAGACAGGCCCUUCGGACCUUGAAAAUCCGGGGACGGGCUACGUGGAGGUCUCGCGCCGGUUCGUACUCAUAUCCGCAGCAGG